UGAGGAAUAUUGUUCAAUGGACGAGAGUCUGAACCAGCCAAGUAGCGUGCAGGAUGACGGCCCUAUGGGUUGUAAACUGCUUUUGUUUGGGAAUAAUCGACAUUACGUGUAAUGUUUUGCAGGUACCAUUCGAAUAAGGACCGGCUAAUUCCGUGCCAGCAGCCGUGGUAAUACGGAAGGUCCAGGCGUUAUCCGGAUUUAUUGGGUUUAAAGGGAGUGUAGGCGGUUGGUUAAGCGUGUUGUGAAAUGUAGAUGCUCAACAUCUGACUUGCAGCGCGAACUGGCUGACUUGAGUACACACAACGUAGGCGUAAUUCCUCGUGUAGCGGUGAAAUGCUUAGAUAUCAUGACGAACUCCGAUUGCGUAGGCAGCUUACGGGAGUGUUACUGACGCUUAAGCUCGAAGGAGCGGGUAUCGAACAGG
rnacentral:rRNA from 1 species